rnacentral:rRNA from 1 species
GACGAACGCUGGCGGCGUGCUUAACACAUGCAAGUCGAACGGAAAGGCCCUGCUUUUGUGGGGUGCUCGAGUGGCGAACGGGUGAGUAACACGUGAGUAACCUGCCCUUGACUUUGGGAUAACUUCAGGAAACUGGGGCUAAUACCGGAUAGGAGCUCCUGCUGCAUGGUGGGGGUUGGAAAGUUUCGGCGGUUGGGGAUGGACUCGCGGCUUAUCAGCUUGUUGGUGGGGUAGUGGCUUACCAAGGCUUUGACGGGUAGCCGGCCUGAGCGGGUGACCGGCCACAUUGGGACUGAGAGACGGCCCAGACUCCUACGGGAGGCAGCAGGGGGGAAUAUUGCACAAUGGGCGGAAGCCUGAUGCAGCAACGCCGCGUGCGGGAUGACGGCCUUCGGGUUGUAAACCGCUUUCGCCUGUGACGAAGCGUGAGUGACGGUAAUGGGUAAAGAAGCACCGGCUAACUACGUG